AGUGAACGCUGGCGGUAGGCCUAACACAUGCAAGUCGAACGGCAGCACAGUAAGAGCUUGCUCUUACGGGUGGCGAGUGGCGGACGGGUGAGGAAUACAUCGGAAUCUACUUUUUCGUGGGGGAUAACGUAGGGAAACUUACGCUAAUACCGCAUACGACCUACGGGUGAAAGCAGGGGAUCUUCGGACCUUGCGCGAUUGAAUGAGCCAAUGUCGGAUUAGCUAGUUGGCGGGGUAAAGGCCCACCAAGGCGACGAUCCGUAGCUGGUCUGAGAGGAUGAUCAGCCACACUGGAAGUGAGACACGGUCCAGACUCCUACGGGAGGCAGCAGUGGGGAAUAUUGGACAAUGGGCGCAAGCCUGAUCCAGCCAUACCGCGUGGGUGAAGAAGGCCUUCGGGUUGUAGAGCCCUUUUGUUGGGAAAGAAAAGCAGCAGGUUAAUACCCCGCUGUUCUGACGGUACCCAAAGAAUAAGCACCGGCUAACUUCGUG
rnacentral:rRNA from 1 species